GUGGGGAAUAUUGCACAAUGGGGGAAACCCUGAUGCAGCAACGCCGCGUGAGUGAUGAAGGUUUUCGGAUCGUAAAGCUCUGUCUUUGGGGAAGAUAAUGACGGUACCCAAGGAGGAAGCCACGGCUAACUACGUGCCAGCAGCCGCGGUAAUACGUAGGUGGCGAGCGUUAUCCGGAUUUACUGGGCGUAAAGGGAGCGUAGGCGGAUGAUUAAGUGGGAUGUGAAAUACCCGGGCUCAACUUGGGUGCUGCAUUCCAAACUGGUUAUCUAGAGUGCAGGAGAGGAGAGUGGAAUUCCUAGUGUAGCGGUGAAAUGCGUAGAGAUUAGGAAGAACACCAGUGGCGAAGGCGACUCUCUGGACUGUAACUGACGCUGAGGCUCGAAAGCGUGGGGAGCAAACAGGA
rnacentral:rRNA from 1 species